AAGAGGGAGGGAGGAAAAAGAGGGGGGGCGAGGACCACCUUUUUUCUUUUUCUUGUCCUUGUCCUUCCCUCUUUCUGCAAAUGGAGGGAUUUUUUCUUCUUCUUCAUUUUCCUCAUCAUCUGCAACAUUAAAAGCCACCUUUGAGCGACCUCCCACCUCUUCAUCAUCAUCAUCACCCUCCUCUUGAAAAGAAGUUCUCAUCGAAUUUUUUUCUCUGUCUUCUUCUUCUUCACGUCGGUAGCUCAAAAGAGAAGUAGAAGAAGA
rnacentral:ribozyme from 13 species